AGAGUCAACUUCCAAAUGGAAAAUGGUUCUGAAAAUUUGUAGCAGAAGCUGACUAAUUAAAUGACACCCUUGAUGUCACCAGUAAACCUCCGCAUCAUUGGGACAGUUCUGAACGUCAGUACAAGUUGAAUGAAUAAGUUUUGUUGUUGGCAAGCUGCCUGAGGAAUUCAUUGAAUCAAAGGUAGAGUACAUGAAUUUAGGCAUCCUAAAGAGAAAUUUCACAAAUCCACAUUAAAAGUCCUACUAAUAUCAGCAAGAGUGGCUUUUGCUUGGACCUGACUAUACACCUGCAAUGGGAGAAGAAACUGAAAAUUGCCCUGUGUGUCCAGCUGCAUACCAAGGUUGGAGUGGGUCCGGAGAUGAGAUGUGUAGCAAGGCCAGGAGGAUGAGCAGUGUGGAGCGGCCAAGGAAAUAAUCUUUAAUUUACACUUGGAGUGGAUAGCUGAGGUGAAGGAUCUGGAUAAAUGGGCUGAGAAAAUUAUCCAGUAUUUCUCCUUAGACUCACAACCUUGAAAUUCUUUCGAUAUUCACUUUGGCAAAAUUUCAGUUCCAACCCUAAGGACCCUGCUAGCGAUGGCAAAAGACGAGAGAUUCUUGAUGGAACCAUAAAGAAGCUAUCAGAGGGAUGAGAUGCUAAUAAUUAGGGCCGGAAAUGGAAACCCUCCUACAGCAAGGAACAAUUACUGGUGACUGUGUGAAUCUGUGGAGUGUCUACGAUGUUUAACUGCCCCAGUGAUGGGUAACAAGUUGUUGAAAGAAAUGUUGCCUAAUUAAAUGGGAAGUUUAUAUAUAUAACCUUUCAAGACGUUAUUGAAUUUCCAAUGGAAUUGCUCAAACAGAGAACUGUGCUGUAAUGAAAGGGAUGAUUAAUCUUGUUCCUCCUAUUACCAACUCUAAUUAGAAAAAUAAACGAGUAAUCUUUAGAAUGAAAUUCACCAGCAGCAUAAGCUUAAAA